rnacentral:rRNA from 1 species
GACGAACGCUGGCGGCGUGCUUAACACAUGCAAGUCGAACGGUGAACGAGGGAGCUUGCUCCCUCCGGAUCAGUGGCGAACGGGUGAGUAACACGUGAGCAAUCUGCCCCGAACUCUGGGAUAAGCGUUGGAAACGACGUCUAAUACCGGAUACGACGCGGGAGGGCAUCCUCUCCGCGUGGAAAGAACUUCGGUUCGGGAUGAGCUCGCGGCCUAUCAGCUUGUUGGUGAGGUAACGGCUCACCAAGGCGACGACGGGUAGCCGGCCUGAGAGGGUGACCGGCCACACUGGGACUGAGACACGGCCCAGACUCCUACGGGAGGCAGCAGUGGGGAAUAUUGCACAAUGGGCGCGAGCCUGAUGCAGCAACGCCGCGUGAGGGACGACGGCCUUCGGGUUGUAAACCUCUUUUAGCAGGGAAGAAGCGAAAGUGACGGUACCUGCAGAAAAAGCACCGGCUAACUACGUG